AGAGUUUGAUUCUGGCUCAGGACGAACGCUGGCGGCGUGCCUAACACAUGCAAGUCGAACGAGGUCCAUCCUUCGGGAGAAGACCUAGUGGCGAACGGGUGAGUAACACGUGAGGAACCUGCCCCGAAGACCGGGAUAACCCUCCGAAAGGAGAGCUAAUACCGGAUACCCCCACUGGACCGCAUGGUCCGGUGAGGAAAUGGAUUCCGCUUCGGGAGGGCCUCGCGGCCUAUCAGCUAGUUGGCGGGGUAACGGCUCACCAAGGCAUCGACGGGUAGCUGGUCUGAGAGGACGAUCAGCCACACUGGGACUGAGACACGGCCCAGACUCCUACGGGAGGCAGCAGUGGGGAAUCUUGCGCAAUGGGCGAAAGCCUGACGCAGCAACGCCGCGUGGGGGAUGAAGGCUCUCGGGUUGUAAACCCCUUUCAGCAGGGACGAAUCAAGACGGUACCUGCAGAAGAAGCCCCGGCUAACUACGUGCCAGCAGCCGCGGUAACACGUAGGGGGCAAGCGUUGUCCGGAUUUAUUGGGCGUAAAGAGCUCGUAGGUGGCUGAGUAAGUCGGAUGUUAAAUCCCCAGGCUCANNNUGGGACACCACCCGAUACUGCUCUGGCUAGAGUCCGGUANNGGAGCGUGGAAUUCCUGGUGUAGCGGUGNNNUGCGCNNNUAUCAGGAGGAACACCAGCGGCGAAGGCGGCGCUCUGGGCCGGUACUG
rnacentral:rRNA from 1 species